rnacentral:rRNA from 1 species
UACGAAGGGUGCAAACGUUAUUCGGAAUCACUGGGCGUAAAGGGUGCGUAGACGGUAUGUUAAGUUCGUUGUUAAAGGCUCCGGCCUAACCGGAGUACCGCAAUGAAAACUGGCGUGCUAGAGGGUGAGAGAGAGAAGUGGAAUUCCCGGAGUAGCGGUAAAAUGCGUGGAUCUCGGGAGGAACACCAAUGGCGAAGGCAGCUUCUUGGCUCAUUCCUGACGUUGAGGCACGAAAGCGUGGGGAGCAAACAGG